GAUGAACGCUGGCGGCGUGCCUAAUACAUGCAAGUCGAGCGAACAGAUGAGGAGCUUGCUCCUCUGACGUUAGCGGCGGACGGGUGAGUAACACGUGGAUAACCUACCUAUAAGACUGGGAUAACUUCGGGAAACCGGAGCUAAUACCGGAUAAUAUAUUGAACCGCAUGGUUCAAUAGUGAAAGACGGUUUUGCUGUCACUUAUAGAUGGAUCCGCGCCGCAUUAGCUAGUUGGUAAGGUAACGGCUUACCAAGGCAACGAUGCGUAGCCGACCUGAGAGGGUAAUCGGCCACACUGGAACUGAGACACGGUCCAGACUCCUACGGGAGGCAGCAGUAGGGAAUCUUCCGCAAUGGGCGAAAGCCUGACGGAGCAACGCCGCGUGAGUGAUGAAGGUCUUCGGAUCGUAAAACUCUGUUAUUAGGGAAGAACAAAUGUGUAAGUAACUAUGCACGUCUUGACGGUACCUAAUCAGAAAGCCACGGCUAACUACGUG
rnacentral:rRNA from 1 species